rnacentral:misc_RNA from 1 species
CCAAUAGCGUAUAUUAAAGUUGUUGCAGUUAAAAAGCUCGUAGUUGAAUUUCAGGCCUGGCUGGACGGUCCGCCCUUCGGGUGAGUACUGUCUGUGGUCGGGUCCUACCUUCUGGCGAAGCGUCAUGGCCUUAACCGGCCGUGGCGGGGAACCGGGACUUUUACUGUGAAAAAAUUAGAGUGUUCAAAGCAGGCAAAUCGCUUGGAUACAUUAGCAUGGAAUAAUGGAAUAGGACAAUGGUUCUAUUUGUUGGUUUCUAGGACCGUUGUAAUGAUUAAUAGGGAUAGUUGGGGGCAUUAGUAUUCAAUUGUCAGAGGUGAAAUUCUUGGAUUUAUUGAAGACUAACUACUGCGAAAGCAUUUGCCAAGGAUGUUUUCAUUAAUCAAGAACGAAAGUUAGGGGAUCGAAGACGAUCAGAUACCGUCGUAGUCUUAACCAUAAACUAUGCCGACUAGGAAUCGGGCGAUGUUGAAAAAAUGACGCGCUCGGCACCUCAUG